UAUGCAUCUAGAGCAGCUGAGGGACUGGCCCGACGACGCUGCGGCAACCUUCCGGAAGGAAAGGUGCCAAUUCCAGCGCCACGGUGAUGGCGACAGAUGACAA
rfam:Megasphaera sp. BV3C16-1 contig00018, whole genome shotgun sequence.